rnacentral:misc_RNA from 1 species
UGAAUCCAUAUUUUUCUCCAUAAUAGUCCCGGGUACUCUUCACACUCUUACUCUUUCCAAAAACAGCCUUUUCAUUUACGCGAAGAUGAUGCGCCGUGUGAUCGCCCAGCCCGUCGCCCGUCGCGCGGCGGCCGCCUCCAGUGCGCUCGUGGUUGCCCCUCGCCAGGCCUCCACUGUCGCCCUCUCCGUCCAGGGCCUGCACUACGUCGGCACCGGUCUCGCCGCCAUCGCCCUCGGUGGUGUUGGCUUGGGUAUCGGUGCCAUCUUUGGCUGCCUGCUGAUAGGCUGCGCUCGCCAGCCCAACCUGACCAAGAUGCUCUUCAACUACGCCAUUCUCGGCUUCGCGCUGACGGAGGCCAUUGGCCUGUUCGCGCUGAUGCUCGCCUUCCUCAUGCUCUUCUCGUAGAGUGCCCGUGAAUCGUUCCAAUGAAUUCUACUAUCGUCUCGUGUAUGCGAACUUCUAGGAUCCUUUGUUUUGUGUAUUCUGACGUAAUAUUUCUCUUGUGGUAAAAUAGUUGUGUAGGCAGCGUUAGUUACUAUGUGAGGCGAAAAAAAAACAAUGAAAACAAAAAGUGGAUGCCAAUAUCUGUCUAUAGCGGUUUUAUGGCGCUCUCUUGCCCUUAAACGAAGCAUAUCGGUUGCUGUGGGCAGUGGGCAGCUCAAUUGAGAUUGUACAAUGGCUCGAGCUCUGUGGCACGACGUGGGCUGGCUUACAGGGAGCAAAGGUGUGGAAGGAUAAAAUGCGCUGUUCUCAUCUUUGCGCCCGUCGCACAAUCGGUCUUCUUGUCUCUCUAGACAGCGAAAACACACGCACAUACGAAUAAGCCCGUGAAAGGGAAAAGGCGUUCGCCUGCUUGAAAACAAGUAUGCUCUACUUAUUUCCUUCUCCCUUCUCCGUUCUUUAUUUGUGCUCAAACUAACAG